GAUGAACGCUGGCGGCGUGCCUAAUACAUGCAAGUCGAGCGAACAGACGAGGAGCUUGCUCCUCUGACGUUAGCGGCGGACGGGUGAGUAACACGUGGAUAACCUACCUAUAAGACUGGGAUAACUUCGGGAAACCGGAGCUAAUACCGGAUAAUAUAUUGAACCGCAUGGUUCAAUAGUGAAAGACGGUUUUGCUUUCACUUAUAGAUGGAUCCGCGCCGCAUUAGCUAGUUGGUAAGGUAACGGCUUACCAAGGCAACGAUGCGUAGCCGACCUGAGAGGGUGAUCGGCCACACUGGAACUGAGACACGGUCCAGACUCCUACGGGAGGCAGCAGUAGGGAAUCUUGCGCAAUGGGCGAAAGCCUGACGGAGCAACGCCGCGUGAGUGAUGAAGGUCUUCGGAUUGUAAAACUCUGUUAUUAGGGAAGAACAAAUGUGUAAGUAAAUAUGCACGUCUUGACGGUACCUAAUCAGAAAGCCACGGCUAACUACGUG
rnacentral:rRNA from 1 species